rnacentral:rRNA from 1 species
CCCUUAGAUGUCCUGGGCCGCACGCGCGUUACACUGAUGCAUUCAACGAGCUUAUAACCUUGGCCGAGAGGCCUGGGCAAUCUUGUUAACGUGCAUCGUGAUAGGGAUAGAUUAUUGAAAUUAUUAAUCUUGAACGAGGAAUUCCUAGUAAACGCAGAUCAUCAAUCUGCAUUGAUUACGUCCCUGCCCUUUGUACACACCGCCCGUCGCUCCUACCGAUUGAGUGCUCAGGUGAAUAAUUCGGACUGCAGCAAUGUUCGGAUCCCGAACGUUGCAGCGGAAAGUUUAGUGAACCUUAUCACUUAGAGGAAGGAGAAGUCGUAACA